GGAAGAACAAAGGGGUUGUAAAGCAGUAGUGAAGAACUAAAGAAAGGCAAAGGAGCUGAGAGGUAUGAACGAAGGACCAUGUUUAUGGGAGAAUCAACCUGAACUAAAGAAGAAUGAAUGUUCAGAAAAGUGAGAACAUCCUAAUCUAGCAUCAGAUUCUGUGGAUGAACUUACAGAAGAAUGGCAAACUACCUGCCCAACUGAAGUAGAGUAAGAACUCUACAUCAAAACUCAAAAAGCUUGACGCAUCUUUGCAUAAUUCCUAAAGGAAGGCAGAUACGAUUCAUUUUACUCAACACUGCUGGGUUUUCUUGGGGCACCUAGGUGGCUCGGUUGGUUAAGCAUCUGCCUUUGGAUCAAGUCAUGAUCUUAGGAUCCUAGGAUAAAGCUCUGCAUCAAGCUACCUGUUCAGCAGGGAGUCUGCUUCUCCCCAUCCCUUUCCCUCUGUUGCUCUCCCCCCACCACUUGUGCUUUCUC